rnacentral:rRNA from 1 species
AUGGAGAGUUUGAUCCUGGCUCAGGAUGAACGCUAGCGGGAGGCCUAACACAUGCAAGCUGAGCGGUAGAGAUCUUUCGGGAUCUUGAGAGCGGCGUACGGGUGCGGAACACGUGUGCAACCUGCCUUUAUCUGGGGGAUAGCCUUUCGAAAGGAAGAUUAAUACCCCAUAAUAUAUUAAGUGGCAUCACUUGAUAUUGAAAACUCCGGUGGAUAGAGAUGGGCACGCGCAAGAUUAGAUAGUUGGUGAGGUAACGGCUCACCAAGUCGAUGAUCUUUAGGGGGCCUGAGAGGGUGAUCCCCCACACUGGCACUGAGAUACGGGCCAGACUCCUACGGGAGGCAGCAGUAGGGAAUAUUGGGCAAUGGAGGAGACUCUGACCCAGCCAUGCCGCGUGCAGGAAGAAGGCCUUCUGGGUUGUAAACUGCUUUUGAUCGGGAACAAAAAGUCCAUGCGUGGAAAAUUGAGUGUACCGAUAGAAUAAGCACCGGCUAACUCCGUGCCAGCAGCCGCGGUAAUAC